GAUGAAGAACGUAGCGAAUUGCGAUAAGUAAUGUGAAUUGCAGAAUUCAGUGAAUCAUCGAAUCUUUGAACGCACAUUGCGCCCGCCAGUAUUCUGGCGGGCAUGCCUGUUCGAGCGUCAUUUCAACCCUCAAGCCCCCGGGCUUGGUGUUGGGGAUCGGCGUGCCCUCGCGGCGCGCCGUCCCCUAAAUCUAGUGGCGGUCUCGCUGUAGCUUCCUCUGCGUAGUAGCAACACUCGCACUGGAUCGCAGCGCGGCCACGCCGUUAAACCCCCCACUUCUGAAAGUUUGACCUCGGAUCAGGUAGGAAUACCCGCUGAACUUAAGCAUAUCAAUAAGCGGAGGA
rnacentral:misc_RNA from 1 species